GACGAACGUUGGCGGCGUGCCUAAUACAUGCAAGUCAACUGAAAUACCGGUAGCAAUACUGGUAUGGAGGUGGCGCACGGGUGAGUAACACGUAGGUAAUCUGCCUUCAGGUCUGACAUAACCCAUCGAAAGGUGAGCUAAUAUCAGAUGAUGCAGCGGCUUGACAUCAAGACAGUUGUUAAAGCUUCGGCGCCUGAAGAUGAGCCUGCGUCUGAUUAGCUAGUUGGCGGGGUAACGGCCCACCAAGGCUGCGAUCAGUAGCUGGUCUGAGAGGAUGAUCAGUCACACUGGAACUGAGACACGGUCCAGACUCCGUACGGGAGCAGCAGUAAGGAAUAUUGCUCAAUGGCCGAAAGGCUGAAGCAGCAACGCCGCGUGAGGGAU
rnacentral:rRNA from 1 species